rnacentral:rRNA from 1 species
GCCAGACUCCUACGGGAGGCAGCAGUGGGGAAUAUUGCACAAUGGGCGAAAGCCUGAUGCAGCGACGCCGCGUGAGUGAAGAAGUAUUUCGGUAUGUAAAGCUCUAUCAGCAGGGAAGAAAAUGACGGUACCCCUUGAAUAAGCCACGGCUAACUACGUGCCAGCAGCCGCGGUAAUACGUAGGUGGCAAGCGUUGUCCGGAUUUACUGGGUGUAAAGGGCGUGCAGCCGGGAAGACAAGUCAGAUGUGAAAUCCCGCGGCUCAACCGCGGAACUGCAUUUGAAACUGUUUUUCUUGAGUAUCGGAGAGGUAAUCGGAAUUCCUAGUGUAGCGGUGAAAUGCGUAGAUAUUAGGAAGAACACCAGUGGCGAAGGCGGAUUACUGGACGACAACUGACGGUGAGGCGCGAAAGCGUGGGGAGCAAACAGGAUUAGAUACCCCGGUA